AGCAGUAGCCGCGGGAACACGGAGGGUGCAAGCGUUGUCCGGAUUUAUUGGGUUUAAAGGGUGCGUAGGCGGCCUAAUAAGUCAGUGGUGAAAGCCUCCAGCUUAACUGGAGAACUGCCAUUGAUACUGUUAGGCUUGAGUAUACUUGAGGUAGGCGGAAUUGACAGUGUAGCGGUGAAAUGCAUAGAUAUUGUCAAGAACACCAAUUGCGAAGGCAGCUUACUAAAUUAUAACUGACGCUGAGGCACGAAAGUGUGGGUAUCAAACAGGAUUAGAUACCCGCGUAGUCCCUGUCUCUUAUAC
rnacentral:rRNA from 1 species